rnacentral:rRNA from 1 species
GCAAGCGUUGUCCGGAAUUAUUGGUCGUAAAGAGCUCGUAGGCGGUUUGUUGCGUCGGCUGUGAAAUCCCGAGGCUCAACCUCGGGUCUGCAGUCGAUACGAGCAAACUAGAGUGUUGCAGGGGAGACUGGAAUUCCUGGUGUAGCGGUGAAAUGCGCAGAUAUCAGGAGGAACACCGGUGGCGAAGGCGGGUCUCUGGGCCGAUACUGACGCUGAGGAGCGAAAGCGUGGGGAGCGAACAGG